rnacentral:lncRNA from 1 species
CUCACCUUCAGCUUUUGUUGUUGUUGUUGUUUUUUUCUGGUAAGAAGAGCUUUAAACUAAGAAAUGAUGGAGCAAGUCUGGAAGUGUUUUUCCUAUAUGCAAUUAUGAGCAGACUGCAAGAAGAAAGCAAGGCAAAGGAAGAUGCAUCAAUCGAAAAAAACAAUGUCAGUGGUAGGAAGAAUACCCAGCCAAGAGAUGAAGAGUACAAGUAUUUAUGACAACGCUGUGAGGUCUCCAGAUGAGAAUGGUAAACUCCAGAAAAGCCUAUUGACUCUGCAAAACAGAACCUGACCAGCUUAGGAAAGGUAAUGUAGGAUGUGAUGACUCAUCUUUGACAACUAUUAAUUUAUACUAGG